CAAUGGAAAGCCAAAUUUAGAGGCAUUUAACUGUUAAUUAAAAAAUUGAAAUUUCUUUUCUCCACUGA
rnacentral:tRNA from 2 species